CAGCAGCCGCGCGGUAAUACGGAGGGUGCAAGCGUUAUCCGGAUUUAUUGGGUUUAAAGGGUCCGUAGGCGGAUCUGUAAGUCAGUGGUGAAAUCUCACAGCUUAACUGUGAAACUGCCAUUGAUACUGCAGGUCUUGAGUAAAUUUGAAGUGGCUGGAAUAAGUAGUGUAGCGGUGAAAUGCAUAGAUAUUACUUAGAACACCAAUUGCGAAGGCAGGUCACUAAGAUUUAACUGACGCUGAUGGACGAAAGCGUGGGGAGCGAACAGGAUUAGAUACCCGAGUAGUCCCUGUCUCUUAU
rnacentral:rRNA from 1 species